GACGAACGCUGGCGGCGUGCCUAAUACAUGCAAGUAGAACGCUGAAGGAGGAGCUUGCUUCUCUGGAUGAGUUGCGAACGGGUGAGUAACGCGUAGGUAACCUGCCUGGUAGCGGGGGAUAACUAUUGGAAACGAUGGCUAAUACCGCAUAAGAGUAGAUGUCGCAUGACAUUUGCUUAAAAGGUGCAAUUGCAUCACUACCAGAUGGACCUGCGUUGUAUUAGCUAGUUGGUGAGGUAACGGCUCACCAAGGCAACGAUACAUAGCCGACCUGAGAGGGUGAUCGGCCACACUGGGACUGAGACACGGCCCAGACUCCUACGGGAGGCAGCAGUAGGGAAUCUUCGGCAAUGGACGGAAGUCUGACCGAGCAACGCCGCGUGAGUGAAGAAGGUUUUCGGAUCGUAAAGCUCUGUUGUAAGAGAAGAACGAGUGUGAGAGUGGAAAGUUCACACUGUGACGGUAUCUUACCAGAAAGAGACGGCUAACUACGUG
rnacentral:rRNA from 1 species